UUGGAGGGCAAGUCUGGUGCCAGCAGCCGCGGUAAUUCCAGCUCCAAUAGCGUAUAUUAAAGUUGUUGCAGUUAAAAAGCUCGUAGUUGAAUUUCGGGAUCGAUGGGUCGGUCAUGCCCUCGGUAUGUACUGAUCCCAUUGGUCCUCACCUUCUAAGGAACCAUGAUGUCAUUCGGUUGAUGUUGUGGGGAAUUAGGACUGUUACCUUGAAAAAAUUAGAGUGUUUAAAGCAGGCCAACGCUUGAAUACAUUAGCAUGGAAUAAUGAAAUAGGACAUCCGAUUCUAUUUUGUUGGUUUCUAGGAUCGAUGUAAUGAUUAAUAGGGAUAGUUGGGGGCAUUAGUAUUCAAUUGUCAGAGGUGAAAUUCUUGGAUUUAUUGAAGACUAACUACUGCGAAAGCAUUUGCCAAGGAUGUUUUCAUUAAUCAAGAACGAAAGUUAGGGGAUCGAAGACGAUCAGAUACCGUCGUAGUCUUAACCAUAAACUAUGCCGACUAGGGAUCGGAUGAUGUUAAUUUUUUAAUGACUCAUUCGGCGCCUUACGGGAAAC
rnacentral:rRNA from 1 species